UGGGGAAUAUUGCACAAUGGGGAAGACCCUGAUGCAGCGACGCCGCGUGAAGGAAGAAGUAUCUCGGUAUGUAAACUUCUAUCAGCAGGGAAGAAAAUGACGGUACCUGACUAAGAAGCCCCGGCUAACUACGUGCCAGCAGCCGCGGUAAUACGUAGGGGGCAAGCGUUAUCCGGAUUUACUGGGUGUAAAGGGAGCGUAGACGGAGCAGCAAGUCUGAUGUGAAAGGCGGGGGCUCAACCCCGCACCGCAUUGGAAACUGUUGAUCUUGAGUACCGGAGAGGUAAGCGGAAUUCCUAGUGUAGCGGUGAAAUGCGUAGAUAUUAGGAGGAACACCAGUGGCGAAGGCGGCUUACUGGACGGUAACUGACGUUGAGGCUCGAAAGCGUGGGGAGCAAACAGGAUUAGAUACC
rnacentral:rRNA from 1 species